CCAAUUUCUAGGCAAUAGGCAAUGAUUGAAAUAGCCAGCAGGUGCGCAGAAAAAUUGCCUUCAUUUGACCUACAAAGGAACGUGGUGCCAUCAUCAAAACGCUCAUAUACUUUGGCCACAGUGUUUGAGCGCUCAGGGUUGUCAAAAUGAUUUCCACAGUCUGCUACUGCGAGACAGAUCUGCAAGCCACACGCUCGGGUUGUCCUUGCCAACAAGCUGUGUGUGGAGCAGUGCCACUUUCAUCAGAAACUCAGCUUUGGGAAGAAGUUUUGAAUCAAGUUUUCCAACACAAGAGGAAUAACAUGAUUGCUGCAGCAGACAUUGGGUCGAAAAUGUUUCGUCUAGUGUCACUGUCAAUAAAAUCCUGAGAGCUUCUGA